rnacentral:lncRNA from 1 species
GAAUCUUAAUUAGUACACUCACGUUCCCUGUAGAAAAUCGAUACUCUGGAAUACUCCCGGGUGAAAGCUACAUCGGUAUCCGUGCGCUUGCGGAUUUUUCUGUUUGCGUUUAAAAUACCCAACAGUCACCGAGUUGAAGGAUUCGGUGUACUAGUUUUGAAUCGUGUAGAAAUUUGGUGGAUUAUGUGGGUUUCAAAUUCUGGACUAAAAAUACUUGGAAGGAAACCCUAGCUUUUAAGGCCGAUAAACGGAGGAGAUAGAAGAGGAAAUGGAGUAAUCAAUAUGUCCGCAUCGGUUUUGAGUGGCAAUUUUGGAAUAAAAUUAAAUUUAUCCUAAAACUGGGGGCAUGUUUUAAUCCCAAAUUUUGGCGAGUCAGGAAAACUGCCAGUGGGCCUGCUUUACAGAAGG